GUCUGCGUAGCUUAACUAAAGCAUAGCACUGAAGCUGCUAAGAUAAACCCUAAAAAGUUUCACAGGCA
rnacentral:tRNA from 1 species